rnacentral:rRNA from 1 species
UACGUAGGUGGCAAGCGUUGUCCGGAAUUAUUGGGCGUAAAGCGCGCGCAGGUGGUUUCUUAAGUCUGAUGUGAAAGCCCACGGCUCAACCGUGGAGGGCCAUUGGAAACUGGGGAACUUGAGUGCAGGAGAGAAGAGUGGAAUUCCACGUGUAGCGGUGAGAUGCGUAGAGAUGUGGAGGAACACCAGUGGCGAAGGCGACUCUUUGGCCUGUAACUGACGCUGAGGCGCGAAAGCGUGGGGAGCAAACAGG